GACGAACGCUGGCGGCGUGCUUAACACAUGCAAGUCGAACGGAAAGGCCCUGCUUUUGUGGGGUGCUCGAGUGGCGAACGGGUGAGUAACACGUGAGUAACCUGCCCUUGACUUUGGGAUAACUUCAGGAAACUGGGGCUAAUACCGGAUAGGAGCUCCUGCUGCAUGGUGGGGGUUGGAAAGUUUCGGCGGUUGGGGAUGGACUCGCGGCUUAUCAGCUUGUUGGUGGGGUAGUGGCUUACCAAGGCUUUGACGGGUAGCCGGCCUGAGAGGGUGACCGGCCACAUUGGUACUGAGAUACGGCCCAGACUCCUACGGGAGGCAGCAGUGGGGAAUAUUGCACAAUGGGCGGAAGCCUGAUGCAGCAACGCCGCGUGCGGGAUGACGUCCUUCGGGUUGUAAACCGCUUUCGCCUGUGACGAAGCGUGAGUGACGGUAAUGGGUAAAGAAGCACCGGCUAACUACGUG
rnacentral:rRNA from 1 species